UCUUUCCUUCUUCAUAUUUCUCUUCAGUAAUUGAAUAUUCAACUUCUCUCCUGUAGGAUGGUUUGCACAGAUAUGGACACUGCAGCUCCAAAACUGUGGCACCAAUUCCGAUCCUGCUUCUUAUUUUUCUGGCCUUGUGGAUUAGGUUCUUCAUUUUGGAGAGGAACGACUGAUGGAGAAACUCAAAAUUGAAAUCAAAUGCAUAUAAGUAUGACGCAAGACGUCCCAUACCACUAUCUCUUCCCCACAACAAAAAGAAAAUAAAACUUCCCAUGGAAGGUUAUCGACUAUCACUGCCCGACAGCAAACUCUUUGUUCAUGUGAACCAGCUCUUAGCAACUUUCUAACAUCAGGUAUGUUUCUCUCCUGAGGUGAAAAGAAAUGUACUUUGAAUUUUCUGUCUAGUAAUUGCAGUAGGUAGCUAUGCGCUGCAUCCACUUCUUUAAAAUCAAAAUUCCAGCUUGCCUACAAAUCAGCAAGCAUUUAAUAAAUUUAAUUACACACAGACAAAUAAUAAAUUGGUUAAAAACAGUAGGUUGAGGUAUUUCACCCUUUCAUCUGCAGGAUAUCAUGGGGUCUUGCUGGUAUUAGAUGCCAACGGACAGCUUGGUCAUAGUAUUUUAGAAGCAUCUGUAUGUAUAUAGAUUCAGUAAUGUGGCUGUCAACCAAGGCUUCCAGGGUCUCUUCCCUCUUUCCAAAUACAUAACCUUUAGUGCAAAUUUUAUGUCCGAGGCUGAGUUCUUCAAUAGCUUGCUUCAUGAUUCUGUCACAUUUUGUUGUAACGGCUUUGGGUUUUUGUCCUUGCAUCAUUUCCAUCCAUGUCUUGAAAAGCCACAUGUAAGCCGACUUGCUUGGAUUAUGCAGUAGUGCAUUGAUGAAUGUAUAAAGAUCAACUUUCUUAGAAGUAUAAUACUAACACAGUAUAUGUGAAUUCUUCUUCUUU